AGUCCGAGAGGGCAGAGCCCGAGCCGUGGAGGGUGCUCCCGGGCGGGGAGGCGCCCGUGGAGGGGCAGGAAGGGCAAGAGCCGGGAGAGAAGCCCAGGCCCCCGGCCCGGCGGCGGCGAUGUCCUUAAGCCCAGAAUCUCCUCGGCGGCGGAGGUGGUGGCGGCGUCUGCGGGCUCAGACCAUUCUCUGGCUGUGUCUUCGUGUCGUCCCUGGGCCAGGCCGGCCUAACGUCUGCUCUACUGCGGCCUCACCGCCCGGACGCCGUAGUCUCCCCCAUUUUGUGGGCCCAGCGGGCGGCGUUUUUCCCCCUUUAAUCCGAAUUCACGGGUUUUCCCUUCGCUUUAAUGGCGGCCACAGGGACCAGCUCGCCCUCUCUGCUCGCCCAUUGGCCGCCUUGAGGUCACGUGGGCCCGGGCUCCGUGGGGAGGAGGAGAGAGAAGGGAGUGAGAGAGGGCCGGGAAGCUUUCGGCGGAGGCGGUGAGCCCUGGGGACCGGACGGCCAGCUGGCGGCUACUAAGACAGCGCCAUCUGCUGGGUGCCUCGGCCACUGUAAGAUGACCCCGGGCCCAGGCCCUAGCUUUCUCCUUGCGGGGGGGGGGAAUCUACAGCGCAAGAGGGUUCGCAUCACCGAUCUGAGAAUUACGUGGAAAACAGUUUGAUUUCGUCGGAAAAGAAAGUGUUGCAAAAAUUCCCGGGCAUUCUCACUUGCAAACCCCCCGGGCUUGGGAGUCAGACGAUCUGCGAUACAACUUGGACACUUAAAAAGUUGUGAUAUCAAGAAAGAAAGAAAUGUAUGAGAAACAGUAUAGCCUCGUAGUGAAUAACCUGGGAGUGAGAGCCACGCUUCCUUGGGUUCAAGCCUUGAGCCAGUCAGUUCUUGGGGUCUCAGUUUCCUCAUUUGUUAAAAGGGGGAAACAUAACCCUAUCUCAUAGGGAUGCUGUGACAAUGGAGUUAACACAAAUAAACCAGGUAGCCCAGUGUCUGGCACAGACACCCAUUGCUAACAGUUACCUAUUAUUGUUGUCAUCGUGACCUCAUAAGAUUAUUGUGAGGAGUUGAACCAGUGUAUGUAAAGUGCCACCACCGUAACCUCCGUGAGAACCAGAACUUUGUUUUGCUUACGGCUGUAUCCCUAGUGCUUAAAAAAAGGUUCCUAGCACACAGUGGACGCCUGAUAUUUGUAAAUUUGCAAACGAAUGAAUGGAGCUCAAAUCAGUUGAAGUCCAUAUCCUUUCUAAGUGAGUGCCAGCACCAGGAGACAGCAAUCCUCAGACGCCCGUAAGCAUGUUUUAUUUAGAAUCAGCCACAUUUCAAGUGCCCAAUAGCCACACAUGGUUAAUGGCUGCUGUGUUGGAUGAUACACGUCUACAAAAGCUAAUAUAAAUUCCUCGAAGGCAGAGAGUACCGUGUAUAUAGUUACUCAAUAAAUAUUUGCUGAAUAAAAGAUUGGGUAAUGUGCCAAGGUCAUAACAAGGUUUGAGGGAGGCACAUGUCCCUGACGGCAUGAACACCAAUCAUCAAGCUCAUGAACUACAAAAGGAUUCCACAUCUGUGACUUCUAAUCGGAUGUUCCUUCCGCACAGAACUUAAUUUCUGUGACUGGGACUUCAGUGAAAGGAGAAGGUUAAUAUUAUACCAAAGGAAGAAUCUUCCACAACUUUCAUCCAAGAAUUGUUACUUGGCUAAAAAUGUGUAAACUCCUCUGGCAGCCUGGCAAACUAGAUAACCUGAGGGCCCAUUAACUAUGAGAUAAUUAAAUCCUGAUUUGAAUCAAAACUAAUAUGCACUUUAAAGUUUUGCUGGAAUUGCACUACUGGGUAUUUACCCCAAAGUUACAGAUGUAGUGAAACGCUGGGACACCUGCACCCCAAUGUUUAUAGCAGCAAUGUCCACAGUAGCCAAACUGUGGAAGGAGCCUUGAUGUC